CCGGAGAGUUCUGUGAAUUGAGGGCUGGAGCGCUCCACCGGUAACUCCUCCUCCUCUUCCCUUUCCCUCCUCCCUCCUUCCGUAGCCUCCAGAGCACGGCGGAGGGGAGCGCUGCGCGCGGCUGGAAACGGCUCCGCAGGGCGCCGGGCUGGGAGCUGCCCGCCGUGAGGCACCUGCCCGCCUUCUGCCGCGGCGAGGUGGUGAAGGGCUUCGGCAGAGGCUCCAAGGAGCCGGGCAUCCCCACCGAGGCACUCAUUUCAGCAGUUCAAGAAGACAUUGAAGAGGCAGAAAGACAGCUAGAUUUACCAGAACAUCUUAAACUCAAAGACAACAACUUCUUUCAUCUGCUAGAAGGCAAAAGAGUAAACCACUAAGCAAAACCAUAUGUUUGCAGUUCUUUAUUUGUAAAGCAAUAUGCGAACACCAAGUGAGGCAUAAAGGUCACUGAAAUUGUUGGAGUUCAAGCAAUGAUCCCUGACUGCAUGUGACAAGCUCUGAAAGCCAGAAAGGAAGUGUCAGACUGCAGAGCAGGAAGAAUCAGAAGUGAAAGAACAUGCAUCUGAUAACUCAAAAUGUGAUUGAAAUGGUGUGCCCAAUCAACAACAAAGAACCUCUGAAAAAAGAAUUGGCAUUUGAAAAGAAUUUGGAGAUGAAUACAAUGGCUCCAAUGACAAGGAGAAGCAAAAUGCAGAAUCUUGGCUGAAAGAAAGACCAUCUAUUCCUGAUGUCUGCCUGCCGCUGUACAUCCUCCAUUCCUCCAUCCGUUGCUUUGAUAAACCUUCAGAAUUUUUCAAGACAGAGUUCUGAUUUUCCCACUGAAAAUGUCAUUGGCUUUUUUCUAAAUAUGCAGCAAAUAAUACAAAUUUUCAUUUCCCUUUUCAGCAGCUUUGCAUCCAGCUACCUUACCCUGGCUUACGUUUUAUUUUUUUUAAAUCCCUACUGGGUAGUUUUAAGUGCUGUAAUUUAAUACCACUUAUGUGUGUGGAGAAGCAAGCCAGAAAUAUUAUUGAAGUAUGUUUUGACAGGGGAAAAGGACCUUGAUCCUGGCAAGAGAGUUGGUGUAAUAUAAAAAAUAAAUAGCAGGAAUUUAAGGUUAAGCAGAGAAGUUGUUAACUACUGCUGAAGAAUGUUUAAACGAGCUCAUUGUUUCAAAAACAUUUCAAGCCUUACAAUUAAAAAUAAAGAUCUUUUUUGGUGAA